CUCAAAAGAAAAAGAAAUAGGAACUUGUGAUGCUCUUAUCCAAGGCUCCAAAAUAAAUUUAACAUACAACUUAUCAUGGCUAGACAUUGACCCACAAGCAUCAGAUAAAUGGCCCAGUCUACUAUAGUAAUAACAAACAUCAGGAAGCUCCUCAUAAAUAAAUUCUUACCAAAAAGUUUCAUCAUAGAUUUUGAGAUGAGUAUCAGGAC
rnacentral:lncRNA from 1 species